rnacentral:rRNA from 1 species
GAUGAACGCUGGCGGCGUGCUUAACACAUGCAAGUCGAACGAAGCAUUUAAGACAGAUUACUUCGGUUUGAAGUCUUUUAUGACUGAGUGGCGGACGGGUGAGUAACGCGUGGGUAACCUGCCUCAUACAGGGGGAUAGCAGCUGGAAACGGCUGGUAAUACCGCAUAAGCGCACAGUACCACAUGGUACAGUGUGAAAAACUCCGGUGGUAUGAGAUGGACCCGCGUCUGAUUAGCUUGUUGGCGGGGUAACGGCCCACCAAGGCGGCGAUCAGUAGCCGACCUGAGAGGGUGACCGGCCACAUUGGGACUGAGACACGGCCCAGACUCCUACGGGAGGCAGCAGUGGGGAAUAUUGCACAAUGGAGGAAACUCUGAUGCAGCGACGCCGCGUGAGUGAAGAAGUAGUUCGCUAUGUAAAGCUCUAUCAGCAGGGAAGAUAGUGACGGUACCUGACUAAGAAGCUCCGGCUAAAUACGUG